AGCCGACUAGCUAGCCCCACCCUUAAAUUACAACAACCAAAUGUUAUUAACCCCUAAGACACUAGAAAAAGACAAACAAACCAUUUUACCUCUUGAGUACGGGAGACGGAAAAAGACCACGGA
rnacentral:rRNA from 1 species